UCACAAUCCAGUCAAACUUCUAGAAGACUAUAGGCUGAGUCAAGACCACAUGGAGCAGAACUGCUACAUGUUUCAGUCAACCCACAUCAUCACUAAGUUCUGAAGUGGCUUGAAUAAAGAAUCCACCUAACAAUUAGAGGAUACUCAUCCAAUCUGCAAAUGACAGACUCUUGAUAUUCUUCUUAUUCCUUACUUUCAUCUUCAUUGCCACAUUAAUUGAUUUGGGCUAAUUCAAGAAUUUUUAACAACUCAGAAAAUGUCAUGGAGUAAGAGUUCUCACAAACUAUUCUGAUACUACUUAAUUAGAAGAAUAAAUUUAAAAUUUUGGACAAGAGCCGGUUUUCUUAUAUCAUCUUCACUCACUUAACUGAACAACUUAAAAUAUGACCGUCCUUAAAGAAACUAAUACAUCUUUAAACUUUGAAAAAAC
rnacentral:lncRNA from 1 species